AUAACUUGGUACAGGGCCACGAAUCUCUAGAAUUAGUGGUUCAGACAUUUCAUCGAACAGCUUUUGGGCGCAGAAAUAUCUGGGCUCAAAUUCCAGUUGAUAAGAAAGCAAUAGGCAUUACGAACAACUAAUCCAGAAGGGAUCUAUCAAUCAAUACUCAAUCACCUAGCAUACUGAGAAUUCUACACUACUCUAACCCAUCCUCAGAAACCUAUUCACUACUCAAACAUCAUAGUAGAAAGCAUAAACGUUGAACAGGUUAAGAACAUGAUAACAGCAGGGUGAUAACAGAAUGAAGAACAGUAAAAGAAAUCAAGAACGAAUGUUGGAUACUGAAUAGACAAAGAGAAAUCCGGAUUACAAAGGUCUAGAACACAGUGUUUGCGGAAUAAAACUAGAAAAAAACUUGUUUUCGAAAAUGUGAAGUACAUGCUACUUAUAGCCAAAUAUUCCAAAAUCCUAAUACUUAAAACGACACAGUAUUGGGACGGAUUAAAAACUGUACUGGACCCAUGCGGUCGAGUGGGAGGUCGAGUGAAUAGCUGGAGUCUUCUUUUCUUCCUUGUGCUUGAGUGUCUGGUUGAGUGCAGAAUGAAGAAGACUCUGAAGCUUGCCAUCGAGUAUGUAGUCGAGUGGUGGUGAUGGUGAUACUCGACUUCCUGGUAGAGUGAUGUGGUCGAGUGAUGAUCAGGUAAUGGAGGUAAAGACA
rnacentral:sRNA from 1 species